rnacentral:rRNA from 1 species
UACGGGGGGGGCAAGCGUUGUUCGGAAUUACUGGGCGUAAAGGGCUCGUAGGCGGCCAACUAAGUCAGACGUGAAAUCCCUCGGCUUAACCGGGGAACUGCGUCUGAUACUGGAUGGCUUGAGUUCGGGAGAGGGAUGCGGAAUUCCAGGUGUAGCGGUGAAAUUCGUAGAUAUCGGGAGGAACACCGGUGGCGAAGGCGGCGAUCUGGGUCGAUACUGACGCUGAGGUGCGAAAGCGUGGGGAGCAAACAGG